rnacentral:lncRNA from 1 species
GUACCGUGACAUUGAGUAGGCGCGAAGUAUAUCACUCUAGCAUGCCAUGCUCCAGUGCAUGUCAACGUCUUCUCCACUGCAAUGGAAGCUGCAGAUUUUGCUCUGCUCUACUUGCCUUGCUAGUGUUCACUUUAAUGCCUCAAAGGUGCAUUGUGCAUCUUUUGCACUCUAAAGAAAGAGCUUGAUUAGUCUGUUUCUACUAUUAGUUCAUGCAAACCUGGUUAUAUGAUGUCUUUUUUUUCAUUGUUACUCGAUGUCUCAUUUUCUUGUUUUCUGUUAUAUUUUUCUAGGGAAGGUUCUUGUAAUUAUUAGUUCUUUGAUUGUAUGAUGCAACCGCUUACUCGAUGUCGUUGUCAUUGUUCUUCUAGUUGCAUAUAUGGAAGUGUGUGCUUGGUUUGGUUCCAUUUAUCUUUCUCUCAUGCCUGCCCUUUUGAUCUUAUAGGAAUUGAGGCUUCGCCAAGGAACAAGACUGGUAACUAGCGCAAAGGAGACCAUGUCGAGAGGUGGCACUACUAGACUUUCUGAUGUGUAGUUAUGGCAUAAAAAGACGAAAAAAUGGUGUCCAUAAGGUGUACGUAGCAAAUCUUCCCAUGUGGAUCAGUACAACUUAUGUAUGGCCUUGAGUUCACAAAUCUUAUAGUAAUCUUUGUAGCUCUUCGUAAAACUUCGUAAAGCAAGAUUGGCC